CCGGGGAGCGCAAACCGAAAGCCAGGACGGCGGCGGCGGGACGCUCCGUUAUCCUCACUCUCGGCUGGCCCGCCAGGCCAGAGUCUGUGGGGAACAGUCAGUUCCACAGUUCCGAUGGCAGCCUGGCUGGCCACACCCACUCUCUCAGAAAACCACUCCGGUCACUGCACUUGCCUGCCUCAGCAUUUGGAAACACGCGUGCUUGUAAUUUCCCUAAGUAUUGCUGCCCUUCAGAAUGCAAAGAUAACGUGGGCUACGGCUGCAGACACCUGGGUGUGAGAUGAGCAACCCUUUCCUCGUGCGCACAGGAGUCCUCUGCAAGGCCUGUCACCACAGCUGGCUUCAUGGGAGUGUAACCUGUGCUCGGAUUAAUGCUCUGCUGUUACUGUCCUGAAAUUUUUAAUAAUUUUUUAACAAGAGGCCCACAUUUUUAUUUUGUGAUGGGACCAGCAAAUUAUUUGCCCAUCUUACCUGCCACUGUUAAUGCCCCUAGGAAUGCUUGUGAUACUGCUCGAACCAUAUCUCAUUUAAAAUACUUGGCAUAGGGAAUUCCCUGGUGGUCCAGUGGUUAGGACUCUGCACUUUCACUGCCCAGGGCACAGGCUCAAUCCCUGGUCAGGGAACUAAGAUCCCAGAAGCUGCACUGCACAACCAAAAAAAUAAAAAAUAAAAUAACUUGGUUUGUUCA